UCUUCGUGCUCCUGUUCUCCGUGGCUGUGCUGACACUCUGCAAGAAAAGAGCCUCUAAACCCAAAGAACAUCCUGAGGAAACAGAGUCUGCUAAUGUCACAGAGACCAGACGGCUGUAUGAGGAGAUCAGAGAGGAUCAGAG